rnacentral:sRNA from 1 species
GAAUCCUGCACGACCCACCAAUUUAACAUCAAACUCAGAUGUUGAACGUGAAGGAUAACGUUGCGUCAGCAACGGCCCGUAGGGCGAGGCGAAGCCGAGUCAUCCUGCACGACCCACCA